UUGAGUUUGUAUAAAGCAGAAGUCAUUCUUUUUUAAAGGCUAAUGGAUUGUCUUUACGUGUCUGACUAUUACAGAAGGAAAACCAGAAGGAGAGCCAUCCUCAGCGGCUGAUGUGAAUGCAGAUAACUUCACGAGGAAAGCGCCUUCCUCGACCACAGCCAGUUACCUGAAGUGUAACUGCACGCAGCAGACCCACAGUGCAGCAGGUCUGAAUGGUCAGAUGUGGUUCUGGAUGCUUCUGGGAAAAACUAUCAUCCUCCUCCUGAGCUUGGCCUCCCUGGCUGUGAAAUACAAGACAGGAUGAGAAAAGAAGGACCCGUAUAUCUCUGCACAGCAGUGCAUUGUUUGAAUAAUUCACAGUUCUUUUUUUUUGCACCAUUUAGUCUGCAAAUAACAUCAUUAUUUGUUCAAAAACCAUAAAUAAAACAUGAGAAAAGUGUUUUUAAAACAAUUUGAUGCAUUGAAACAGUAAACGAUUUACUUUGUGUGUGUGUCAGAGAAAUCUGUGCCAGCUGUGUAUCCACUGACAGAACUCCAGUAACUCAUCAAUAGUUUGCUCCAAAGUUGCAUAACCGACACCAGAUGCUGUUAACCUCUUCAGUGGGGGGAUUUUAAAUGCAUUUUCUUCUUCUCCACUUCAUUAUGUCUUAAAUAUUAUUGUCUGGACAUAGAGAAGGUUAAUUGCUUGUCGACCAUGUUGUCAACAUGUUCUUGUGUACUGGAGCACCAGUUCAGCAGGUGACCCAUGGAUAAGACUAAUGCAGACGCUUUUUACUGCAUGUCUUUCUUCCAGUUUUCCACUGUCCUAUCACUAAAUAAAGGCUAA